CGAGAUGUAGCGCAGUUGGCUAGCGCAUCUGGUUUGGGACCAGAGGGUCGGGGGUUCGAAUCCCUUCAUCUCGA
rnacentral:tRNA from 2 species